CCCAGACACCCGAUGUUACAAGACCGUUAUAAAAAGUCUCAUUUUCACUGUUCUUCGUGCCUCUAAGUCCAUUCUUUGGGUUUGAACGGGUGAGUGUGUUUCUCACAACCUGAGGGCCCGUUCGGGAUCUCUGUGCCUACGUGGAGUGGGACUCCGGCUGAGAGAAGAGACAUGUCCCACCCGAUUUUUGUGCCCCACUCUGUCUGGGUGUCCUGGCUCCCCACAGAAGCCAUAGAUAAACCCGAGACUGUUAUUCAGGAGACGGUGGAGGUGACGCAGGGAGAAAAGCAGGCACUGCGGCAAACAGGCAACCUCGUGCACCAGCCAAGGUUGGGUAUUUCCUUCAGCCUAUUAAAGGAAUUGGGAACCUGUGGUACCUUCCUUUGAGUGUCACGGGAGUACCAUCUCUUUACCUUGGCAAGAGCAGAUCCUUCAUAUCUGUAGUUGAAUCACACACUCUCAGAUAUCUGAGCUUGAAUUCUACAGGGACACUUAUCUCAGCUUUUGAGUUUUAGGAGAAAUAGCCUGCAGACCAGAGAAUAAGGAAAAGUUGUUUCCUGCCAAAGAACAAGCAGUAUUGUGAAAUAUAAAAUUUUAUUGUUGCGGUGAAAGAAAAUUUCAGUAUCAAAUUUUUGAAA
rnacentral:lncRNA from 10 species